rnacentral:rRNA from 1 species
UACGUAGGUGGCAAGCGUUGUCCGGAUUUACUGGGCGUAAAGAGCGCGCAGGCGGUCGUUCAAGUCGAGUGUGAAAGCCCCCGGCUCAACUGGGGAGGGUCACUCGAUACUGAUCGACUCGAAGGCAGAAGAGGGAAGCGGAAUUCCCGGUGUAGUGGUGAAAUGCGUAGAUAUCGGGAGGAACACCAGUGGCGAAGGCGGUUUUCUGGUCUGCUCUUGACGCUGAGGCGCGAAAGCUAGGGUAGCAAACGGG